rnacentral:rRNA from 1 species
UACGGAGGGUGCAAGCGUUAAUCGGAAUUACUGGGCGUAAAGCGCGCGUAGGCGGUUUUUUAAGUCGGAUGUGAAAGCCCCGGGCUCAACCUGGGAUGGUCAUUUAGAACUGGCAGACUAGAGUCUUGGAGAGGGGAGUGGAAUUCCAGGUGUAGCGGUGAAAUGCGUAGAUAUCUGGAGGAACAUCAGUGGCGAAGGCGACUCCCUGGCCAAAGACUGACGCUCAUGUGCGAAAGUGUGGGUAGCGAACAGG